UACGGAGGGUGCAAGCGUUGUCCGGAUUUAUUGGGUUUAAAGGGUGCGUAGGCGGAUUGGUAAGUCAGUGGUGAAAGUUUGCAGCUCAACUGUAAAAUUGCCAUUGAUACUGUCAGUCUUGAGUGCAGUCGAGGUGGUUGGAAUGCGUAGUGUAGCGGUGAAAUGCUUAGAUAUUACGCAGAACACCAAUAGCGAAGGCAGAUCGCCAGGCUGUAACUGACGCUGAGGCACGAAAGUGUGGGGAUCGAACAGG
rnacentral:rRNA from 1 species